CACUCAACAACCGUCAAAUUCAGUACAGUUACCAGAUCGAAUAUAGCGCUUUUUCCCUCGUUCUCUACCCGCGAAACAGAAUCGUUUCAAACGCAGAAAAAUUUCAAAAAAUACAGUAGGUGCAUGAAUAUGCGAACAAUAGCACUAUUAGAUGACGCGUAUACAUUAGGACAGUUCAUGUUUUACCACAACAUUACACUUUACAAGAAAACACAAAGUUUUUAAUCCUUGAUAAAGGUGGAAUAAAUCCAUUGAAACGUUGGAAGUAAAAGCAAUAUUGUUGUUUUCGCUGUCUAAUUUAUGACUGAUUAGCCGAAAAAACUCCUGAUAAUAGAAGCUCGACAGUCAAG